UACGGAGGGGGCUAGCGUUGUUCGGAAUUACUGGGCGUAAAGCGCACGUAGGCGGCUUUCCAAGUUGGGGGUGAAAUCCCUGGGCUUAACCCAGGAACUGCCCUCAAAACUGGAAGGCUAGAGUCCGAGAGAGGUGAGUGGAAUUUCCAGUGUAGAGGUGAAAUUCGUAGAUAUUGGAAAGAACACCAGUGGCGAAGGCGGCUCACUGGCUCGGUACUGACGCUGAGGUGCGACAGCGUGGGGAGCAAACAGGAUUAGAUACCCUGGUAGUCCACGCCGUAAACGAUGGGUGCUAGUUGUCAGGCAGCUUGCUGUUUGGUGACGCAGCUAACGCAUUAAGCACCCCGCCUGGGGAGUACGGUCGCAAGAUUAAA
rnacentral:rRNA from 1 species